CAAGUCUGGUGCCAGCAGCCGCGGUAAUUCCAGCUCCAAUAGCGUAUAUUAAAGUUGUUGCGGUUAAAAAGCUCGUAGUUGGUUCUGCGUGCCGCGCUGUCGGUUCGCCGCCUGUCGGUGUAACUGGCAUGUCGCGGCAUGUCCUGUCGGUGGUGAACGGAGUCCACGACGCUACAUGGGCUUUAUAGUCGAUGUUAGCAUCGUGUGUACUUCCGUUGGCCGAUCUCUCCUACUUCGGUGCUCUUAAACGAGUGUCGAGGUAGGCCGACACGUUCACUUUGAACAAAUUAGAGUGCUUAAAGCAGGCUGAAAUAUCUGCCUGAAUAGUGGUGCAUGGAAUGAUAAAACAGGACCUCGGUUCUAUUUUGUUGGUUUUAGGAAUAUGAGGUAAUGAUCAAUGUGGACUGGCGGGGGCAUUCGUAUUGCGACGUUAGAGGUGAAAUUCUUGGAUCGUCGCAAGACGCACUAGAGCGAAAGCAUUUGCCAAGUAUGUCUUAAUUGAUCAAGAACGAAAGUUAGAGGUUCGAAGGCGAUCAGAUACCGCCCUAGUUCUAACCAUAAACGAUGCCAGCCAGCGAUCCGCCGAUGUUCCUUUAAUGACUCGGCGGGGA
rnacentral:rRNA from 1 species